rnacentral:lncRNA from 1 species
AGUCCUUCCGGGAGCUCCGGAGCUCCGGGGCUUCCACCACAUCUGCCGGCUCAGGACGGGUCGUGCUCAUCCCUUAACUUUUUAACUUUUUGUUGUUUCUAUUUAUAUUUUAUUGUGCUAUGUCUUGAAAUGUUGUUGUAGCUAUUACUUUUGAUUGGAUAUUACUUAGUAUUCCUACUUUAAAUAAGAGUAGUUUGCACACCACACAGCUAUAGUGUUAUAAUAUUCUGUUUUGUUUUGUAUCCUAUUAGCAGUGAGGAUUUUUUUUUACCUUUAGGUGAUCAUUUAUUACUCAUUAAUGUCCUUUUCUUCCUGAUUGAAGUACUCCCUUUAGCAUUCCUUUAGGACAGGUAUGGUAUUCAUAAAAUACUUCAGCUUUUGUUUGUCUGAAAAAGUCAGUAUUCUUUUUUUUUGAAGAACAUUUUCACUGUAUAUUCUAUUCUAAGGUAAAAGUUUCUUUCCUUUAGUACUUUAAAUAUUUAUUGCUUCUCUCUCCCGGCCAGUAGAGUUUCCACUGUAAAGUCUGCUGCCAGACAUGUUGGAGCUCCCCAGUAGGUUAUUUGUUUCUUUUCUCUUUCUUGCUUAAGAACUUUUAUCUUUGACUUUUGGAAGACUAUUGAAUGCUUCGAAGUAGUGUUUUUUGGGUUAAAUCUGCUUAAUGUUCUAUAACAUUUUUGUAGUUGGAUAUGGAUGUCUUUCUCUAGGUUUGGAAAGUUCUCUGUUAUUAUCCCUUUGAAUAAAUUUUUCUACCCCUGCCUCUUUCUCUACAUCUUCUUUAAAACCAAUAACUCUUAGAUCUGUCUUUGUGAGGCUAUUUUCUAGAUCCUCCCCUGCCUCUUUCUUUACAUCUUCUUUAAAACAAAUAACUCUUAGAUCUGUCUUUGUGAGGCUAUUUUCUAGAUCCUGUCGGCAUGAUUUGUUGUUUUUAUUCUUUUUCUUUUGUCUCUUCUAUGUAUUUUCAAAGAGCCUGUCUUCAAGCUCACUAUUUCUUCUGCUUGAUCCAUUCUGCUAUUACAUGGCUCUAAUGCAUUCUUCAGCAUGCCAAUUGCAUUUUUCAGCUCAGAAUGUCUGCUUAAUUUACUGUAACUAUUUCAAUCUCUUUGUUGAGUUUAGCUGAUAAAAUUUGGAAUUUCCUUACUUUGUUAUCUUAAAUUUCUUUCAGUUUUUUUUUUUUAAAUACAGCUAUUUUGAAUUCUCUGUCUGAAACAUCACAUAUCUCUUUUUCUCCAGGAUUUGUCCCCAGUGCCUUAUUUAGUUCACUUGGUGAGGUCAUGUUUUCCUGGAUGGUGUUGAUGCUAGUAGAUGUUCUUCAGUGUCUGGACAUUAAAAUCUUGGGCAUGCAGCACCAUAUGAGAAGUUUAAAAAAUAAAAUUUAAAGAGAGAAAAGGCUUUGGUAUCAGGAUGAUUCUGGCCUCAUAGAACAAGAUGGGGAAGAGUCCCUCCUCCUCUAUUUCUUGAAAUAGUUUCAGUAGGACUGGUACUGGCUCUUCUUUGUACAUCUGUUAAAAUUUGUUAAUCUAUCAGGUCCUGGGCUUUUUGGGGGUUGGUAGGCUAUUUAUUACGGAUUCAAUUUUUGGAGCUCAUAAUUGGUCUGCUCAGAGACUGAAUUUCUUCCUGGUUCAGUCUUGAGAGAGUAUAUGUGUCCAGGAAUUUAUUAAUCUCUUCUAGGGUUUCUAGUUUGUGUGUAUAGAGGUGCUCGUAGUAGUUACUGGUUGUUAUUUUUUUUUCUCUGGGGUCAGUGGUAACAUUCCCUUCAUCAUUUCUAAUUUUCUUUAUUUGAAUCUUCUCUCAUCUUCUUUAUUAAUCUAGCUAGUGCCCUAUCUUAGUAAUUUUUUCAAAAAACCUUGAUUAAGUGAUCUUUUGAACAGUUUUUCAUGUCUCAAUUUCUUUCAAUUCAGCUCUGAUUUUAGUUAUUUCUUGUCUUCUAUAAGCUUUGUGGUUG